rnacentral:rRNA from 1 species
UGGUAAGGUAACGGCUUACCAAGGCUACGAUGCGUAGCCGACCUGAGAGGGUNNUCGGCCACACUGGGACUGAGACACGGCCCAGACUCCUACGGGAGGCAGCAGUAGGGAAUCUUCCGCAAUGGACGAAAGUCUGACGGAGCAACGCCGCGUGAGUGAUGAAGGUUUUCGGAUCGUAAAACUCUGUUGUCAGGGAAGAACAAGUGCCGUUCAAAUAGGGCGGCACCUUGACGGUACCUGACCAGAAAGCCCCGGCUAACUACGUGCCAGCAGCCGCGGUAAUACGUAGGGGGCAAGCGUUGUCCGGAAUUAUUGGGCGUAAAGCGCGCGCAGGCGGUCCUUUAAGUCUGAUGUGAAAGCCCACGGCUUAACCGUGGAGGGCCAUUGGAAACUGGAGGACUUGAGUACAGAAGAGGAGAGUGGAAUUCCACGUGUAGCGGUGAAAUGCGUAGAGAUGUGGAGGAACACCAGUGGCGAAGGCGACUCUCUGGUCUGUAACUGACGCUGAGGUGCGAAAGCGUGGGGAGCGAACAGGAUUAGAUACCCUGGUAGUCCACGCCGUAAACGAUGAGUGCUAGNAGUAAGGGGUUUCCGCCCCUUAGUGCUGAAGUUAACGCA